rnacentral:tRNA from 1 species
UUACGGCGUGGGUGAUCUCGGCGCGCAUCUGGGUGUUGAGGGCGUUCAUCACGUCGGGCCGGUUCAUCGUCAGCACCGCGAC